rnacentral:hammerhead_ribozyme from 1 species
GUACUGCCGAAGAGUCCCAAACCAGGAUGAAACAACCGUCCAGUAC